AUGAGGUCUCCCGUCCCCGCCAUGCUCACCGCCCCAUCAGCAGCGGCGGCCGUCGCCAAGCCGCUCCCCGUGGCUCGCUCCAACACGACGGCGGCGCUCCACGCGACGGCCAGCAGCAGGCGGGACGUCAUGACGGGCGUGGGAGCCGCGCUGCUGCUGGCCCUGUCGCCGCAGCGCGCGCGUGCGGCGUCGGACGACGAGUACCUGACGGAGACGACGGAGGUGAUCGGGAAGGUGCGGUCGACGAUCAGCAUGGACAAGACGGACCCCAAGGUGGCGGACGCGGUGACGGAGCUCCGGGAGAUGUCCAACUCGUGGGUGGCCAAGUACCGGCGCGAGAAGGCGCUGCUGGGGCGGCAGUCGUUCCGGGACAUGUACUCGGCGCUCAACGCCGUGUCCGGCCACUACAUCAGCUUCGGCCCCACCGCGCCCAUCCCCAACAAGCGCCGCAUCCGCAUCCUCGAGGAGAUGGACGCCGUCGAGAAGUCGCUCAAGCGCGGCCGCUGA
rnacentral:rRNA from 1 species